AGUCUAGCCCUCUCUUUGUGUUGAGUGGGGGCUACUUUUCAUUGUGGUGCGAGGUACUCUCAUUAUGGUGGCUUCUCUCGUUGUGGAACAUGGGCUCUAGAGUGCAGCCUUAGUAGUUGUGGUGCAUGGGCUUAGUAGCUCCGUGGCAUGUGGGAUCUUCCCAGACCAGGGCUCGAACCUGUGUCCCCUCCAUUGGCAGGUGGAUUCUUAACCACUGCGCCACCAGGGAAGUUCCACUAACAAAAGUUCUUAUUGGUGAUCUUUAAUGGUAUAUUUUGUGGGUAGAGGAGACUAAGAGAGAGAAGCAGAGUCAUAGAAUUUUAGAGAUGGACAGAUUAUUAGACACUCCCUAUGUCAAGUGCUUAUUCAUUGGGCUAGUCAAGCCUACAAGAGACUGGGUCAGUGUAGUCCUGAGGGCCAGGCCAGACCUAAAGCAGCAACCCAAGAUAUCAGAUUAAGACUAGAAGCAAGAGGAGACCUUGUGGUGGAUGUUUCCAGCCUUCCAUUCUACCUCAUGGUUUUUGUUCGUCAGCCAGACUGCUCUGUAUCUCUGUGUAGAAUUCAAAGCCUGUGUUGCUAAAAUAUUAUGAUGUACUCUAGGUUAAUAUGCAUAAAAUCAAACUUGCAUAAAUCAAAUUUUGUGCAACUCAGGGAGCAUCUAUAAUAUAAAAGCUGAAGCGCCUCCAUGGGUUUCUAGUUAGUUUUCAAAGCCAAAGAUUUUAUUAGGCUACUCCUAAUAUCAUAAUUAUUGUGCCCAUGUGACUGACCUUUUUUAACAGCUGUGUUUUCCUUAGAAGUCUAGGUCUGCAAGACUUAACCUAAUUUUGGGAAUUCCCUGGUGGUCCAGUGGUCAGGACUUGGUGCUUUCACUGCUGUGGCCCAGAUCCCUGGUCAGGGAAAUAAGAUCCUGCAAUCCGCACCGCGCGGCCAAAAAAAAGACUGAACAUAAUUUGGCAGCAUCAUGGAGUAGGCCAUUCUCAUUUUACUCUAAUUUUUCAUGCUUCAGGGCCCUGGCAAGAAACAAAGUUCUGGGAAGGGGCCAUGCCACACUGAAACCAGACCUGAAAGGGAGAGGAUCUGUACAUCAGAUAGGGAAAUGAAGACUCAGAGUGACUAAGUAACUUGGCCAAAGUUAUAUAGACAGUAGACACGGACCAGAUCAUGAAGGGUCAUCAUAUGUAUCCUGUGGGGUAGACAUCUGGGAUAUCUGCUUAUCCAUGCCCCCUUCUCUGAAAAUUGUCUCUGACCUGCCUACAUUUUUCGUCCGGUUACAGUGUAUGGUUGAUUCCUGAUCCAAGCUGGGCAAAUCACACUGGUUCAGGAACAUUGGACUCUAAAGAUCAUGUGACUUGCAAGGCCGAAGACCCUAUUUGGGGGCAGCCAGUCCUGUUUAUUUUCUACUGUGUACAAAGUAUUGUUCUAAAUAAUAGGAAGACAGCAGCCAACUGAACAGACAGGAUUUGCAUACUGGAAAUAUUGUAGUGGACAAAGACAAGAAUCUUGCCAAAUGGAGCUUGCAUUCUAGAGUCUUCUGCAGAGUAACAGGGGAAGAAGCUGGUCUGCAUAGAACAGAGGAGGUCAUGCAGCUUAUAGCAGAUUAGAUCAUUUUUCUCAGCUCUUCACCUCUAUGUAUCCAUUCUCUUGCCAUGGCUUCUUGGUGAAUGGAGUAUACUUCCCUGUCCUUUGAUUUUGAGCUUGGCAAAGUCAUUUUGCUUUGGAUAAUGGAAUGUUAAUGAAGUUGAUGUAAGCAGUGUCUCAGUAUGCCAGUCUUUUUAGAGGCUGAAUAGUAUUCCACUGUAUGUAUAUGCUACAUUUUCUUCAUCUGUCAGUGGGCAUUUAGGUUGCCUCCAUGUCUUGGCUUUGUGAAGAAUGCUGCAGUUAACAUGAGAGUGAAGAUACCUCUUUGAGAUCCUGAUUUCAAUUCCUUUGGUUAGAUACCCAGAAGUGAGAUUGCUGAAGCAUAAGUAACUUAGCUAAGAGAAUAGUUAAUUCGUCCCCCACCCCCCAACUCUUCUCUUAAAAUAAUGAUAUUUUUCCAUUUUUGUCAGGAUAAGACUGAUCUGGAGCACAGUAACCCUGAUUGACUUGUCCCAAUAUUAUUGAGAUGUCACUUUCUGUUUGCAAACAGUGUAAACUCUCCAUUUGUGCAGCAUUCUGACUAGGUAUGACUAGGUUUUAUUUUUAAUUUUUUGAGGAACCUCCAUACUAUUUUCCACAGUGGCUGCACCAAUUUACAUUCUCACCAACAGUGUACAAGGGUUCCUUUUUCUCCACAUCCUCACUAACCCUUAUCUUUUGUUACCAACACUUGUAUAUGUAUAAUAGCCACCCUAACUAGUGUGAAGUGAUAUCUCAUUUUGGUUUUGAUUUGCAUUUCCCUGAUGAUUAAUGAUGUUGAGUACCUUUUCAUAUUCCUGUCGGCCAUUUGUACAUCUUCUUUGGAGAAAUGUCUAUUCAAUUCCUUUGUCAAAUUUUUUUUUUUUUUUUUGUGGUAUGUGGGCCUCCCUCUGCCGCGGCCUCUCACGUUGCGGAGCACAGGCUCCGGACGCGCAGGCCCAGCGGCCACGGCUCACGGGCCCAGCCGCUCCGCGGCACGUGGGAUCCUCCCAGACCGGGGCGCGAACCCGGCUCCCCUGCAUCGGCAGGCGGACGCGCAACCACUGCGCCACCAGGGAAGCCCCUGUCAAAUUUUUAAUCAGGUUAUUUGUGGGGUUUUUUUGCUAGUGAGUUGCAGGAUUUCCGUAUUUGAAUAUUAACUCUUUCUCAGAUAUAUGGUUUGGAAAUAUUUUUUUCCCAUUCCCUAGGUUGCCUUUUCAUUUAGUUUGUUUCCUUUGCUGUGCAGAAGAUUUUUAGUUUGAUGUAGUCCCACUUGACUAUUUUUGCCUGUGCUCUUGGUGUCAUAUCUAAGAAAUGAUUGCUAAGACCACUGUCAAGAAGCUUUCCUCCAUGUUUUCUUCUCAGAGUUUUUACAGUCUAGGUUUUACAUUUAUGUUUUUAUCCAUUUUGAGUUAAUUUUUGUGUAUGAUGUAAGAGAAAGGUUCAUUUUCAUUCUUAUACACAUGGAUAUCCAGUUUUCCCCAAUACCACUUACUGAAGAGACUAUCCUUCCCCCACGGUAUAUUCUUGACACCUUUGUCAAAGACUGUUUGUAUGUGUAUGGGUUUAUUUCUGGGCUCUCUAUUCUGUUCCAUUGGUCUAUAUGUCUGUUUUUAAAACAAUCCCACUUAUAAUA